rnacentral:lncRNA from 1 species
CACGGCGGUGGAAGUCACUGUAGCUCUUCUAUCUUGACUUGGCAGUCUCUAUACUUUCCCUAAAAAAUCAGACUUUCUCUUGUGCUUCAGGAAGGACAUCUGGUUCAAAUACUAGCCCUUCUCCAAUUUCUGACCAGUUUGGGGAGUGCGGCACUUGCGUCCAUACAACACCUCAAAUGGUGCAAGGAGCUAUCAGAAACAACCCACCACUUUAGUCACCGAUUCAACAUGACUCAAUGCAUCGGAACAAAGUGCUAUAUAUCAUGUCUAAAAAUAGUUUCUUAGUCAUGGUCAAAGGGUUGCUUGCCUUGCUUAACAAAGUCUCCCGGGUCUUCAAAAUCUUAUGGUCCAAGUCCCUCAUCAACAACGCAAUCUAUCGUCACAAUAUUAAUGGGAAAAAAUAAGAACACG